UUAAAUUGAAGAGUUUGAUCAUGGCUCAGAUUGAACGCUGGCGGCAGGCCUAACACAUGCAAGUCGAACGGUAACAGGAAGCAGCUUGCUGCUUCGCUGACGAGUGGCGGACGGGUGAGUAAUGUCUGGGAAACUGCCUGAUGGAGGG
rnacentral:rRNA from 12 species